UGACUGCGUACCUUUUGUAUAAUGGGUCAGCGACUUAUAUUCUGUAGCAAGGUUAACCGAAUAGGGGAGCCGAAGGGAAACCGAGUCUUAACCGGGCGUUAAGUUGCAGGGUAUAGACCCGAAACCCGGUGAUCUAGCCAUGGGCAGGUUGAAGGUUGGGUAACACUAACUGGAGGACCGAACCGACUAAUGUUGAAAAAUUAGCGGAUGACUUGUGGCUGGGGGUGAAAGGCCAAUCAAACCGGGAGAUAGCUGGUUCUCCCCGAAAGCUAUUUAGGUAGCGCCUCGUGAAUUCAUCUCCGGGGGUAGAGCACUGUUUCGGCAAGGGGGUCAUCCCGACUUACCAACCCGAUGCAAACUGCGAAUACCGGAGAAUGUUAUCACGGGAGACACACGGCGGGUGCUAACGUCCGUCGUGAAGAGGGAAACAACCCAGACCGCCAGCUAAGGUCCCAAAGUCAUGGUUAAGUGGGAAACGAUGUGGGAAGGCCCAGACAGCCAGGAUGUUGGCUUAGAAGCAGCCAUCAUUUAAAGAAAGCGUAAUAGCUCACUGGUCGAGUCGGCCUGCGCGGAAGAUGUAACGGGGCUAAACCAUGCACCGAAGCUGCGGCAGCGACACUGUGUGUUGUUGGGUAGGGGAGCGUUCUGUAAGCCUGUGAAGGUGUGCUGUGAGGCAUGCUGGAGGUAUCAGAAGUGCGAAUGCUGACAUAAGUAACGAUAAAGCGGGUGAAAAGCCCGCUCGCCGGAAGACCAAGGGUUCCUGUCCAACGUUAAUCGGGGCAGGGUGAGUCGACCCCUAAGGCGAGGCCGAAAGGCGUAGUCGAUGGGAAACAGGUUAAUAUUCCUGUACUUGGUGUUACUGCGAAGGGGGGACGGAGAAGGCUAUGUUGGCCGGGCGACGGUUGUCCCGGUUUAAGCGUGUAGGCUGGUUUUCCAGGCAAAUCCGGAAAAUCAAGGCUGAGGCGUGAUGACGAGGCACUACGGUGCUGAAGCAACAAAUGCCCUGCUUCCAGGAAAAGCCUCUAAGCAUCAGGUAACAUCAAAUCGUACCCCAAACCGACACAGGUGGUCAGGUAGAGAAUACCAAGGCGCUUGAGAGAACUCGGGUGAAGGAACUAGGCAAAAUGGUGCCGUAACUUCGGGAGAAGGCACGCUGAUAUGUAGGUGAAGUCCCUCGCGGAUGGAGCUGAAAUCAGUCGAAGAUACCAGCUGGCUGCAACUGUUUAUUAAAAACACAGCACUGUGCAAACACGAAAGUGGACGUAUACGGUGUGACGCCUGCCCGGUGCCGGAAGGUUAAUUGAUGGGGUCAGCGCAAGCGAAGCUCUUGAUCGAAGCCCCGGUAAACGGCGGCCGUAACUAUAACGGUCCUAAGGUAGCGAAAUUCCUUGUCGGGUAAGUUCCGACCUGCACGAAUGGCGUAAUGAUGGCCAGGCUGUCUCCACCCGAGACUCAGUGAAAUUGAACUCGCUGUGAAGAUGCAGUGUACCCGCGGCAAGACGGAAAGACCCCGUGAACCUUUACUAUAGCUUGACACUGAACAUUGAGCCUUGAUGUGUAGGAUAGGUGGGAGGCUUUGAAGUGUGGACGCCAGUCUGCAUGGAGCCGACCUUGAAAUACCACCCUUUAAUGUUUGAUGUUCUAACGUGGACCCGUGAUCCGGGUUGCGGACAGUGUCUGGUGGGUAGUUUGACUGGGGCGGUCUCCUCCUAAAGAGUAACGGAGGAGCACGAAGGUUGGCUAAUCCUGGUCGGACAUCAGGAGGUUAGUGCAAUGGCAUAAGCCAGCUUGACUGCGAGCGUGACGGCGCGAGCAGGUGCGAAAGCAGGUCAUAGUGAUCCGGUGGUUCUGAAUGGAAGGGCCAUCGCUCAACGGAUAAAAGGUACUCCGGGGAUAACAGGCUGAUACCGCCCAAGAGUUCAUAUCGACGGCGGUGUUUGGCACCUCGAUGUCGGCUCAUCACAUCCUGGGGCUGAAGUAGGUCCCAAGGGUAUGGCUGUUCGCCAUUUAAAGUGGUACGCGAGCUGGGUUUAGAACGUCGUGAGACAGUUCGGUCCCUAUCUGCCGUGGGCGCUGGAGAACUGAGGGGGGCUGCUCCUAGUACGAGAGGACCGGAGUGGACGCAUCACUGGUGUUCGGGUUGUCAUGCCAAUGGCACUGCCCGGUAGCUAAAUGCGGAAGAGAUAAGUGCUGAAAGCAUCUAAGCACGAAACUUGCCCCGAGAUGAGUUCUCCCUGACCCUUUAAGGGUCCUGAAGGAACGUUGAAGACGACGACGUUGAUAGGCCGGGUGUGUAAGCGCAGCGAUGCGUUGAGCUAACCGGUACUAAUGAACCGUGAGGCUUAACCUUACAACGCCGAAGGUGUUU
rnacentral:rRNA from 1 species